rnacentral:rRNA from 1 species
GUUGGCUGGCGGGUUAAAAAGGCUUCGCCAGGUUGAAUGUCAGUAUCGGAGCCGCAGGGCAGGGUGGACGCUGGGGCGUUGGGAACUUAACGGCUCGGGCGUUUGGUUUUGGGCAUGUGGGCGCGCAAGCGCACGCGUGCUCUUCCGGCGUCGGGUCUCUCACAAGCUCCCCGUCCGUAACAAGCCUCCUCGCUUGUGUACAUAACGGAAUCGGAAUACGGAGUGUGCUUGUCGGGGGCGUUGUUUUGUCGUGCGUGGGUGUCGGAUGUGCAAACCCUUCACGGGGCGCGCGCUCCUUCCUCGCGUGCGGCAUGCGCGUUCACGCUUGCACGUCAAGCUCCAACGUUUUCACAGUCACCCUGAGUAAAUCAGAGUGCUCAAAGCAGUCGUAGGGGCCUUGCGCCCUCACAACAGUCUUGACAGACUUGGUUUUGCAUGGCAUGUCGAAGGACGACGUCUAGCGCUGGCUAAGAGGUCAAUGUGCGUUGUGCUCGAAGGCGGGUGCAGCGCACACACGGUGGUGCAAGCCAGCCUAGACGUAAUGAUUAAAAGGGACAGUCGAGGGCAUUGGUAUUGCGAGGCGAGAAGGUGAAAUUCUA